UACAGAGGUGGCAAGCGUUGUUCGGAAUUACUGGGCGUAAAGGGCUCGUAGGCGGCCAACUAAGUCAGACGUGAAAUCCCUCGGCUUAACCGGGGAACUGCGUCUGAUACUGGAUGGCUUGAGAUUGGGAGAGGGAUGCGGAAUUCCAGGUGUAGCGGUGAAAUGCGUAGAUAUCUGGAGGAACACCGGUGGCGAAGGCGGCAUCCUGGACCAACACUGACGCUGAGGAGCGAAAGCCAGGGGAGCAAACGGG
rnacentral:rRNA from 1 species